UGAAGCUCAUCUAUCCAGGUCAGUUGAACUAAUUGGAUUGUGCUCACAACCUGAAGCUGGUGGUCGCCCCCAAAAAAACAAAGUAAAAGGGUGGAGGGUUCAUCAACUAUAUCUGGAGAUAGUACAUUUUAAUCCAUUCUUGAUGAUGGAGAGCCAAAUGAAGAUGAUGGGAGUUGUGCCACAAUUGAUUGGAGGUGUGUCACAAUUGUGGAAGAUUAAACAUUUUGUAUUAAUUUAGUAGCUUUUUUAAUUUCUUAGACUUGUUGGAUUAAUUUGUUGGUUUGUAAUUAUUCUAAACUUGUAGGAUUUAUUUUGUAGCUUUUUAAUUUCUUGGACUCGUUGGACUUUUA